rnacentral:rRNA from 1 species
UACGUAUGGAGCAAGCGUUAUCCGGAUUUACUGGGUGUAAAGGGAGCGUAGGCGGCGGCCUAAGUCUGAUGUGAAAACCCGGGGCUCAACUCCGGGAUUGCAUUGGAAACUGGGCAGCUGGAGUGUCGGAGAGGCAGGCGGAAUUCCCAGUGUAGCGGUGAAAUGCAUAGAUAUUGGGAGGAACACCAGUGGCGAAGGCGGCCUGCUGGACGAUAACUGACGCUGAGGCUCGAAAGCGUGGGGAG